rnacentral:rRNA from 1 species
UCUUUUAGUUUAAAAUUUAAAGUCUAACCUGCCCACUGAAAUUUUUAAAUGGCCGCGGUAUUUUGACCGUGCUAAGGUAGCAUAAUCAUUAGUUUUUUAAUUGAAAACUGGAAUGAAAGGUUGAAUGAAAAAAUUACUGUGUCAAAUUAAAUAUAUUAGAAUUUUAUUUUUAAGUUAAAAAGCUUAAAUAUUUUUAAAAGACGAGAAGACCCUAUAGAGUUUUAUAAAAAUUUUCAUUUUUACAAUAUGGGAAUUAAUUUAUUAUAAAUAGAAUUUUUAUUUAAUUGGGGUGAUUGAAAAAUUUAAUUAACUUUUUUUUUAUAUUUAUAUAAAUUUAUAAAUUUUUGAUCCUGAAUUUUAGAUUAAAAGAAAAAAUUACCUUAGGGAUAACAGCGUAAUUUUAUUAGAGAGUUCUAAUCGAUAAUAAAGUUUGCGACCUCGAUGUUGGAUUAAAA